UUACAGGAUGUCAUAUUGAAUGAGCUACA
rnacentral:piRNA from 1 species